rnacentral:rRNA from 1 species
UACGUAGGGGGCAAGCGUUGCUCGGAAUCACUGGGCGUAAAGGGUGCGUAGGCGGGUCUUUAAGUCAGGGGGGAGAUCCUGGAGCUCAACUCCAGAACUGCCUUUGAUACUGAAGAUCUUGAGUUCGGGAGAGGUGAGUGGAACUGCGAGUGUAGAGGUGAAAUUCGUAGAUAUUCGCAAGAACACCAGUGGCGAAGGCGGCUCACUGGCCCGAUACUGACGCUGAUGCACGAAAGCGUGGUGAGCAAACAGG